GACGAACGCUGGCGGCGUGCUUAACACAUGCAAGUCGAACGGAAAGGCCCUGCUUUUGUGGGGUGCUCGAGUGGCGAACGGGUGAGUAACACGUGAGUAACCUGCCCUUGACUUUGGGAUAACUUCAGGAAACUGGGGCUAAUACCGGAUCUGAGAUCCUGCUGCAUGGUGGGGGUUGGAAAGUUUCGGCGGUUGGGGAUGGUCUCGCGGCUUAUCAGCUUGUUGGUGGGGUAGUGGCUUACCAAGGCUUUGACGGGUAGCCGGCCUGAGAGGGUGACCGGCCACAUUGGGACUGAGGUACGGCCCGGACUCCAACGGGGGGCAGCAGUGGGGAAUAUUGCACAAUGGGCGGAAGCCGUAUGCAGCAACGCCGCGUGCGGGAUGACGGCCUUCGGGUUGGAAACCGCUUUCGCCUGUGACGAAGCGUGAGUGACGGUAAUGGGUAAAGAAGCACCGGCUAACUACGUG
rnacentral:rRNA from 1 species